rnacentral:piRNA from 1 species
ACAAAGGAACAAAGAAGGAACUC